rnacentral:lncRNA from 10 species
GUUUGAGAUUCUGUGGUUGAGACACAUACAAGAAAUAAAUUAAGUACAAAAACAUCCGUUGAAUUUUUAGGAACUCUCAAGGUUUUAAAGAGAUGCAAGCAGAUGACAGUGAAUGCUGUGUUACUCUGCCUGGGUCUACCCUCAGGGCAAGGGCGUGCGUUUCCCCAGCUGCCAGGAAUGUUUGCCACUAACAGCUCACAGCUGAGUUCAUCUCCUGUUAUUACCCUUUACCUAAGGGAGCGGCCUCCAAGAGAAACUUGUUUGCCCUCAACUCAGUCUGCAUCUGGUGAGUAAUGUGGGUGUAAGGAAUCGACACCCUUGCGUCUAAUCCAGACAUCUCUAAAAGACCACCCCGGUUUCAAUGCUCCUCAUGAGACCAGAUGAAGCCAUCAUUAUUAACUCCUUAAUUUGUCCAAUACUGCUUCACUUAUUUCCUCAUGGGGUUGCCUCUGAGAGCAAGCCCCGGUAAACUUCUUCCUUAUACAUCUUAAUCUCAAAGUCUGAUUCCUAGAAACCCAAGAGAUUUUGAUUUGAAUUUAAAUAACAGGCGGAGUUUGAAAGAAUAAAGAGAUGGAGGGAACGCAUCAUAACCUGGUAUGACCUGGAUCAACAUAAACAAAGGGGUUUAGAUAGCUCAUGGUUCUGCUGGUUAGGAAGUUCAAGCGCAAGGCCCUGACUUCUGGUAAGUGCUUUCAUGCUGCAUCAACACGACUAAGAAGGUCAAAGAAGAAGUGGACAUAUUUCAUCAGAAUGGUCUUUCCUAUCAGCAUAUUGGUCACAAUUAUAUAACAAAUCUCUAAGAAGCUCCAAAGUUUUCUUCACCUUUGUACUUUCUUCUGAGUUCUUGCCAGAACCACCCUUAAUUCUUCAUUCAUGCACAGAAAGUCAAGCUGUUAGAGAAACUGAAUAGCAGUAUAGGCGUGAAACAUCUUACACAAGAGUAUAUUGUUGGAAUGGCU